ensembl:misc_RNA 7SK 7SK RNA
GGAUGUGAGAGCAGUCUGGCUGCGACUCUGCCAUGCCAGAGUUGAUUUGGCUCAUCUGACUGGCUAGGUAGGUAUCCCCUUCCUCCCUCACUGCUCCCUGUGCAUCCCUCCCAAAGCUGCAUGCUUGGUUGAAGAGGACGGCCUUGCCCAAAUAGAGAUGGACCGGUUUUUGGUCGGGGGUAUACGCGUAGCUGCGAUCCCCUGUCAAACCUCCAAAUAAGCUCUCAAGGUCCAAAAUUAGUACAAACAAAUCUGGCAUUUCUGUAUACAAACAGGAGAUCAGAGGGGAGGGAAAUAAAGACUCAAUCCUAUUUACAAAUGAACUUAAAUAG